UACACUCCUGCGGGAGGCAGCAGUGGGGAAUUUUGGACAAUGGGCGAAAGCCUGAUCCAGCAAUGCCGCGUGAGUGAAGAAGGCCUUCGGGUUGUAAAGCUCUUUUGUCAGGGAAGAAACGGUGAAAGCUAAUAUCUUUUGCUAAUGACGGUACCUGAAGAAUAAGCACCGGCUAACUACGUGCCAGCAGCCGCGGUAAUACGUAGGGUGCAAGCGUUAAUCGGAAUUACUGGGCGUAAAGCGUGCGCAGGCGGUUUUGUAAGUCUGAUGUGAAAUCCCCGGGCUCAACCUGGGAAUUGCAUUGGAGACUGCAAGGCUAGAAUCUGGCAGAGGGGGGUAGAAUUCCACGUGUAGCAGUGAAAUGCGUAGAUAUGUGGAGGAACACCGAUGGCGAAGGCAGCCCCCUGGGUCAAGAUUGACGCUCAUGCACGAAAGCGUGGGGAGCAAACAGGAUUAGAUACCCCAGUAGUCCC
rnacentral:rRNA from 1 species